rnacentral:rRNA from 1 species
AUUGAACGCUGGCGGCAUGCCUUACACAUGCAAGUCGAACGGCAGCACGGGAGCAAUCCUGGUGGCGAGUGGCGAACGGGUGAGUAAUAUAUCGGAACGUGCCCAGUCGUGGGGGAUAACGCAGCGAAAGCUGUGCUAAUACCGCAUACGAUCUACGGAUGAAAGCGGGGGAUCGCAAGACCUCGCGCGAUUGGAGCGGCCGAUAUCAGAUUAGCUAGUUGGUGAGGUAAAGGCUCACCAAGGCGACGAUCUGUAGCUGGUCUGAGAGGACGACCAGCCACACUGGAACUGAGACACGGUCCAGACUCCUACGGGAGGCAGCAGUGGGGAAUUUUGGACAAUGGGCGCAAGCCUGAUCCAGCAAUGCCGCGUGCAGGAUGAAGGCCUCCGGGUUGUAAACUGCUUUUGUACGGAACGAAACGGUGAGCUCUAAUACAGUUUGCUAAUGACGGUACCGUAAGAAUAAGCACCGGCUAACUACGUGCCAGCCGCCGCAGUAAUAC